AGUUCGAUUCUGGCGCUCAGAUUGAACGCUGGCGGGAUGCUUUACACAUGCAAGUCGAACUGGCUUGUACGGACUUCGGUCUGGUGGCGAGUGGCGAGCAGGUGAGAGUAUGUAUCAGACAGUCCUAGUAGCGGGGAUAACUACUUACGCGAAAAGCGUAGCUAAUAUACAUAUCGCGGGGAAAGCGGGGGGACCUUCGGGCCUCACUAUUAAACGGCCGAUAUCAGUUAGCUGAACGGUGGUAGGGUAACGGCUCCGCAGAGGCGACGAUCCGUAGCUGGUUUGGGGAGAGGACGACCAGCCACGCAGGACCAGGACACGGCAGACUCUACGGGAGGCAGUGUUAAGGAAUUUUGGACAAUAAAACCUGAUCCAGCCAUCCGCGUGUGCGGUAGGGCCUUCGGGUUGUAAAGCACUUUUUUGGCAGGAAAAAACAUGCGGGAUAAUACCCCGUGCAACUGACGAAUACCUGCAGAAUAAGCACCGGCUAACUGCAGUGCCAGCAGCCGCGAUGGCGUACGUACGGUGCAAGCGUUAAUCGGAAUUACUGAGCGUAAGCGUGCGCAAGGCAGUUCCGGAAAGAAAAUGAAAUCCCAGAGCUUAACUUUGGAACUGCAUUUUUUAACUGCAAAACUAAAGUGUGUCAGAGGAGGUGGAAUUCCGCGUGUGCCCGGUGAAAUGCGUAGGUAUGCGGAGGAACACCGAUGGCGAAGGCAGCCUCCUGGGAUAACACUGACGCUCAUGCACAGCGAUGAGGGGCAAACAGGAUUAAGAUACCCUGGUAGUCCACGCCCUAAACGAUGUCAACUAGCUGUUGGGGCCUUCGGAGCCUUGGUAGCGCAGCUAACGCGUGAAGUUGACCGCCUGGGGGUGGUCGCAGAUUAAAACUCAAAGAAUUGACGGGGACCCGCACAAGCGGUGGAUGAUGGAUUAAUUCGAUGCAAGCACGCGAAAAACCUUACCUACCUUGAGCAUAUACUGGAAUCCCGAAGAGAUUUACGGGAGUGCUCGCAAGAGAACCGGAACACAGGCAGGUGCUGCAUAGCUGUCGUCAGCUCGUGUCGUGAGAUGUUGGGUUAAGUCCACAACGAGCGCAACCCUUGUCAUUGGUGUACCAAAGGCACUCAUGAGACUGCCGGUGGCAAACCGGAGGAAGGUGGGGAUGACGUCAAGUCCUCAUGGCCCUUAUGGGCAGGGCUUCACACGUCAUACAAUGGUCAGGACAGAGGUCCGCCAACCCGCGAGAGGCCAAUCCCAAAACCCGAUCGUGAUCCGGAUCGCAGUCUGCAACUCUCGACUGCGUGAGUCGAAUCGCUAGUAAUCGCGGAUCAGCAUGUCGCGGUGUGAUACGUUCCCGGGUCUUGUACACACCGCCCGUCACACCAUGGGAGUGGGUUUUGCAGAAGUAGUUAGCUAACCGUAAGGAGACGAUUACCACGGUAAGGAUUUAUGACUGGGUGAAGUCGCCCAACAAGGUAA
rnacentral:rRNA from 1 species